rnacentral:rRNA from 1 species
UACGUAGGGGGCGAGCGUUGUCCGGAAUUAUUGGGCGUAAAGAGCGUGUAGGCGGCCAGGUAGGUCUGGUGUGAAAACUCGGAGCUCAACUCCGAGCCUGCGUUCGAUACUGGACGGCUAGAGUCUGGUAGGGGGAUCUGGAAUUCCUGGUGUAGCGGUGGAAUGCGCAGAUAUCAGGAGGAACACCAAUAGCGAAGGCAGCUCGCUGGGACGGUACUGACGCUAAGGCGCGAAAGCGUGGGGAGCGAACAGG